CAGUCACUGUCAGAUGUGAGAUUCAGGGAGGUGAAGGAGCUCAGUGGACGUAUGAAUGGAGACCAGCCAAGUCAAACACACCUCCAACAUCCACUGAAUACAGAAUCACAGUUUCUGAGUCUGACAGUGGAGGAUACAUCUGCCGGGGCAGAAGGAACUAUUCCUUCACAUAUUGGAGUGAAACCAUCAGACUGACUGUAUCAUCUAAACCAAAGGCUGAACUGAGAGCUGAUAACACAGCUGUUCCAGUAGGGGGCAGUGUGACCCUGACCUGCUCUGUGAACCCCUCAUCAUCAUCAUCAUCAUCAUCAUCUAGAUGGAAAUACUACUGGAACAGAGAUGGGAAAUCUUAUAAACGUGUGACAAAUGAACAAAUCAGUGUCUCAGAGGGAGGACUCUACAGCUGCAGAGGAGGAAGAGGAGAACCAGUUUACUACACAGAGGACAUAACAGCCUCAAACAGGCCUGUUGUGACUCUGCAUCCAAACUGGUCUGAGAUAUACAGAGGAGAGACGAUCACUGUCAAAUGUGAGAUGUGAGCUAGAAACAGAGUCUCAGUUCACAAGAGCAUUUGUUUUAUAAGUGCUCACACUCAGUAAAUUUUUUUAGUCACUUAAUAAACCCAUGCUUUCAGUUAUUAUUUGAAAUAUUUGUCUAUGUAUUUAACAGUAAAGGCAAGAAAGAAAACAUAAAAACAUAUACAAUAGUAAGUAAUCACAGUAAGUCAUAUUUCCUUUAAGCUGUUUGAACACUUUGUAAAAUGUGUUUCUGUUCAUAUAGACUGAGAUUAUUAUUCUUUGUAUAAACUGAGCUCACUGUUCAGAGACUGUACUACAUGUUCACUGAGAGAAAAUCUUUGUUGAACAGAUAAACCCCGUCCUGUCCUCACUGUGUCUCCAUCAUGGCUGAGUCCUGGAGCCUCAGUAACUCUGAACUGUGA